CAGCAGCCGCGGUAAUACGGAGGGGGCAAGCGUUAAUCGGAAUUACUGGGCGUAAAGCGUGCGCAGGCGGUUAUGUAAGACAGUUGUGAAAUCCCCGGGCUCAACCUGGGAACUGCAUCUGUGACUGCAUAGCUAGAGUACGGUAGAGGGGGAUGGAAUUCCGCGUGUAGCAGUGAAAUGCGUAGAUAUGCGGAGGAACACCGAUGGCGAAGGCAAUCCCCUGGACCUGUACUGACGCUCAUGCACGAAAGCGUGGGGAGCAAAUAGGAUUAGAUACCCGUGUAGUCCCUGUCUCUUAUAC
rnacentral:rRNA from 1 species